rnacentral:rRNA from 1 species
AACGAACGCUGGCGGCAUGCCUAACACAUGCAAGUCGAACGAGACCUUCGGGUCUAGUGGCGCACGGGUGCGUAACGCGUGGGGACCUGCCCUUAGGUUCGGAAUAACUCCCCGAAAGGGGUGCUAAUACCGGAUAAUGUCUUCGGACCAAAGAUUUAUCGCCUUUGGAUGGGCCCGCGUUGGAUUAGCUAGUUGGUAGGGUAAAAGCCUACCAAGGCGACGAUCCAUAGCUGGUCUGAGAGGAUGAUCAGCCACACUGGGACUGAGACACGGCCCAGACUCCUACGGGGGGCAGCAGUGGGGAAUAUUGGACAAUGGGCGAAAGCCUGAUCCAGCAAUGCCGCGUGAGUGAUGAAGGCCUUAGGGUUGUAAAGCUCUUUUACCCGGGAUGAUAAUGACAGUACCGGGAGAAUAAGCUCCGGCUAACCCCGUG